UACGUAGGGUGCGAGCGUUAAUCGGAAUUACUGGGCGUAAAGCGUGCGCAGGCGGUUGGUUAAGUCUGAUGUGAAAGCCCCGGGCUCAACCUGGGAAUGGCAUUGGAAACUGGCUGGCUAGAGUGUGGCAGAGGGGGGUGGAAUUCCGCGUGUAGCAGUGAAAUGCGUAGAGAUGCGGAGGAACACCGAUGGCGAGGGCAGCCCCCUGGGCUGACACUGACGCUCAGGCACGAAAGCGUGGGGAGCAAACAGG
rnacentral:rRNA from 1 species